UUUCCGAGGAGCGUUGCGACGGGCACCGGCCCGCCAGGCUCGGAAAUCUUCACCAGGCGGUGGCCCG
rnacentral:ncRNA from 14 species